rnacentral:rRNA from 1 species
AUGCACGCAGCACGCGUACAAAUUUACAUUUUACACCCACCCUCGCAUAUAUACCUCUCGCACGCUCACGUUUCCCACGACGACGGGUACCAUGCACAGGACGACGAUGCUCGGAUCGGAUCGGAUGGAUUUCGCCUAGUGGAACUUGAGGCUGGUGAGGAUGUUGUUGUUGACGGGGUCGGAGAGGUGGUCGAGGAGGUUCUGGAAGGGUCCGACGCCGGUGAAGAUGGCCUGCAGAGACAUGCCGAGGAAGGCGAGCAUGGCGAGGCGGCCGUUCUUGAUCUCCUUGAGCUUGAGCUCCUUCAUCUCCUUCUCGCUCUUGGUGCCGAACCCGAGCGGGUUGAAGAUGGGCCCGCCGGGGUAGGCGGGGUCGCCGGAGCCACCGAGGUACUUCUCGAGGCCCAGGAAGUACUGCUUCCCCAUGGAGCCCGGGUUGUACCAGUCCUGGAGCCGCCGGUGCUCCGCGAAGCCGAUGAGCGCCAUCUCGAACACGAAGAGCGUGUAGGGGUCGGCCCAGUACUGGUAGGUGAGGGACUGCUUGGACGCGAACCACAGCUGCCUGUUGUCAUUUUGCUGAAAGAGAAGAACAAAAGAGAAAGUUAG